rnacentral:tRNA from 1 species
GUUGGGAAUGUAGCUCAGUGGUAGAGCUCUUACCUAUCAUGGGUGAGACACUGGGUUCAAUCCCCAGCACAACA